rnacentral:rRNA from 1 species
UACGAAGGGGGCUAGCGUUGUUCGGAAUCACUGGGCGUAAAGCGCACGUAGGCGGAUCUUUAAGUCAGGGGUGAAAUCCCGGGGCUCAACCUCGGAACUGCCUUUGAUACUGGGGAUCUCGAGUCCGGGAGAGGUGAGUGGAACUGCGAGUGUAGAGGUGAAAUUCGUAGAUAUUCGCAAGAACACCAGUGGCGAAGGCGGCUCACUGGCCCGGUACUGACGCUGAGGUGCGAAAGCGUGGGGAGCAAACAGG